CGGCAUGGCAUCUCCUAACUAUUUUACAGCCGUUCCCUCUUGUUGACAGCCUUCUUAAUGCACCUUAGAUUGGACAGUUAACACUUGGAGGUAUGAGACUCCUGUCACUAGGUGACCAUAAUGGACAGGCCUGCCCAUUAUGGGCAUAACCAGUGACAAAGUCCUUCCUCAAUAAGAAGAAAGAGGACGCCCACUGGACCACUAAUGAACUUGGGGUUUAGCCCUAUUUAAGGAGACUUGAGGGUGGGGGUUGUCAGGC